GACAGAGGGUGCAAACGUUGCUCGGAAUCACUGGGCGUAAAGGGCGUGUAGGCGGGUAGAUAAGUCGGGCGUGAAAUCCCUAGGCUCAACCUAGGAACUGCACUCAAAACUGUUUAUCUUGAGUGCCGGAGAGGAAAGCGGAAUUCCUGGUGUAGAGGUGAAAUUCGUAGAUAUCAGGAGGAACACCGAUGGCGAAGGCAGGUCUCUGGGCCACUACUGACGCUGAGAAGGCGAAAGCG
rnacentral:rRNA from 1 species